rnacentral:rRNA from 1 species
AUUGCCCCAGUAACGGCGAGUGAAGCGGCAACAGCUCAAAUUUGAAAUCUGGUCCUUGUGGCCCGAGUUGUAAUUUGUAGAGGAUGCUUUUGGUGCGGUGCCUUCCGAGUUCCCUGGAACGGGACGCCAUAGAGGGUGAGAGCCCCGUCUGGUUGGAUACCAAGCCUCUGUAAAGCUCCUUCGACGAGUCGAGUAGUUUGGGAAUGCUGCUCUAAAUGGGAGGUAUAUGUCUUCUAAAGCUAAAUAUUGGCCAGAGACCGAUAGCGCACAAGUAGAGUGAUCGAAAGAUGAAAAGCACUUUGAAAAGAGGGUUAAAUAGUACGUGAAAUUGUUGAAAGGGAAGCGUUUGUGACCAGACUUGGGCCCGGUUAAUCAUCCAGCGUUCUCGCUGGUGCACUUGGCCGGCCCAGGCCAGCAUCAGCUUUCGGCGGGGGAAAAAGGCGGCGGGAAUGUAGCUCCUCUGGAGUGUUAUAGACCGCCGCAUAAUACCCUGCUGGGGGCUGAGGUUCGCGCAUCUGCAAGGAUGCUGGCGUAAUGGUCAUCAACGACCCGUCUUGAAACACGGACCAAGGAGUCGUCUUCGUAUGCGAGUGUUCGGGUGUCAAACCCCUACGCGUAAUGAAAGUGAACGCAGGUGAGAGCUUCGGCGCAUCAUCGACCGAUCUUGAUGUUCUCGGAUGGAUUUGAGUAAGAGCAUACGGGGCCGGACCCGAAAGAAGGUGAACUAUGCCUGUAUAGGGUGAAGCCAGAGGAAACUCUGGUGGAGGCUCGCAGCGGUUCUGACGUGCAAAUCGAUCGUCAAAUAUGGGCAUGGGGGCGAAAGACUAAU